rnacentral:rRNA from 1 species
UACGUAGGUGGCUAGCGUUGUCCGGAUUUACUGGGCGUAAAGAGCGCGCAGGCGGUCGUUCAAGUCGAGUGUGAAAGCCCCCGGCUCAACUGGGGAGGGUCACUCGAUACUGAUCGACUCGAAGGCAGGAGAGGGAAGUGGAAUUCCCGGUGUAGUGGUGAAAUGCGUAGAUAUCAGGAGGAACACCGGUUGCGAAGGCGGGUCUCUGGGCCGUAACUGACGCUGAGGAGCGAAAGCGUGGGGAGCGAACAGG